rnacentral:misc_RNA from 1 species
GGGAAGGUCCUCGGUUUCUUCUACUAGAAAGAUAUAUCUUGUUGACACUCUACGGGGAUUUCUUAUACAGUAGAUGGAUUCUCCCAGUAGGUGUUAGUGGAAGAGCAUUUUAUUAGCAGUUGAGUCAAAAACCUUGUUAAGAUGAUCCUCGAAUGUCUGAAUUGCCCCUUAAUGUCAUAUGUUGUCUGUUUAAUUUUGCUUGGCG